rnacentral:rRNA from 1 species
CCUACGGGUGGCAGCAGUGAGGAAUAUUGGUCAAUGGGCGCGAGCCUGAACCAGCCAAGUAGCGUGAAGGAUGACUGGCCUACGGGUUGUAAACUUCUUUUAUAAGGGAAUAAAGUGAGGCACGUGUGCCUUUUUGUCUGUACUUUAUGAAUAAGGACCGGCUAACUCCGUGCCAGCAGCCGCGGUAAUACGGAGGGUCCGAGCGUUAUCCGGAUUGCUUGGGUUUAAAGGGAGCGUAGAUGGGUUGUUAAGGCCGGUGUGAAAGUUUGCGGCUCAACCGUAAAAUUGCAAUUGAUACUGGGAGGCUGGAGUGCAGUUGAGGUAGGCGGAAUUCGUGGUGUAGCGGUGAAAUGCUUAGAUAUCACGAAGAACACCGAUUGCGAAGGCAGCCUACUAAACUGCCACUGACAUUGAGGCUCGAAAGUGUGGGUAUCAAACAGGAUUAGAUACCCGUGUAGUC